rnacentral:lncRNA from 1 species
GGACCCAUCUACGAUGUGUUAAGCAUAUCCGGAAGCUUCUGGAGGAUGCAGCUGCUUGUCUACCUCCUUAAGCAGCUAAACAUGUGUUACUCCUUUACUGGAGAAUCCUCCAAGCAGCUCUUGCUUAUGUUCUAUUGGUUAAAUUGGUGGCUGGCCACAAAACUUGUUUUAAUUGGACAGAUUUGUGGCUGCACACCAAUCUCUCUCCAAUUGGUUGCAUGGGGCACCCAUGACACCUCCUUCUUGCUAUGCACGACCAAAACCCUCCCAUGAGCUCAUUCUCCAGCCUAUAAAUAGCAGGCCACCCCCCUUAGUUAUUUCUCAUGCUUAGAACCCUAACCAUAGCAGCUCGAAAUAAAAAAAUCAAAACCCUAAGGUAUAUUGUUUUUGAAGGUAUAUUGUUUUUGUCUUUAGCUUUCUUUUUAUUUAAAUUUUGUUUUUAUAUUUUUUAUUUUCAUAGUUAGAACUUGGAUAGCCUUUCUUAACCUACCCCUUCCUGUAUUUAGAUUUCUAAAGCUCUAGAGUUUUCCGAUAAAAGUUUAAAGUGAAGCCGACCGCGAGAUAGAAGCGUUUCCAGUCCAAAACUUUCAUCUAAGUGUUGAGGUGAGUCUCGGUUAUAGGUUAUGAUUGUUGUGUGUGCGACUAGUGCCUGCAAAACAAGAGUAAUGGUUGAUGCAUUGCUAGGUUGCGCGUUUAGAUAUAUAAUGAUAUGAUAAUGAUUGAUGUUUGUGAAAGAUAUUGAGUUAUAUCGUCGGGCUUCGGCUCGAGGGGUAUAACAUGAUUGUGAUACAUUGAUGUUGUGUUGCAUAUACUUAUGUCAUUGCAUUAUAUUGUUUGGGCCUCGGCUCAGAUAAUAUAACAUGUUUGAUCAUAUCUUAAUGGGGAAACCCGUAAAUCCACGGACUUGAUCCGUGAGAGUCCGACACUCGGGUGGAGUGUCGUGAGAGUCAUUGGUGUGCACUCGAGGCCCGUGCCUUGUCUGGGGCCUUACCAAAAUUAGUUCCGGGCAGGACGCGAAGACACGUGUGAUAGGGCUAGCUACCCUCGACCGUAUAGCUGCAUGACGAUGCGGCAAGUGUGUUAUCCGGGCCAUCGGCUUUUUAGACUUUGUGUUUAGAGUCAAUGGGCGCAAGAAGGGAUGUGUUAUGGACUUCGUAUCGAGAUAGGAACCAAUGGCGAGAGGCAGUCCUCGAUGAUCAAUAAUGAUCUAACCACUCGUGAAGAGUGGAUGCUUGUUUACAUGAUUGCUUUAUUUUUGCAUUGCAUAUUUCUUAAUAUAAUUGAUCCUUGUUGCUUAAUGUUUGAUGCAUAAUGGGGGGAUAAAUAAUUGUUAGGAAACCCGACUCACUGAGCAAAAUAGUUGCUCAUUAGACUCUUUGUUUUGCAGGUAACCCGUAGUAGUAGGUUCCAUUUGGGAUCGGAGGAGCACAAAGCUGUUGGUGUUGAUUUGCUACCUUUUGCAAACAUGUACGUUUUGUAAUAUGUAAGAUAUGGUUUUGAACAUCGGCCGAGCAUGUAUAAAUUUUGAUGUGGUUGAACUUAAAGUAUAUAUGAAUAAAAAAAGGGGUUUGUGAAAUGCUUGGAUUCCAUAUGAUACUAGUCCUAGUCCAGGACGAACUAACUAACGGUUUCAAACUCGGGUUGCAAAGCCUUAACUUGGAAACGCUAGGAAAACUGUUCUUGGACAUAUGAUCUUAGGAUUUCGGAUCUGAUCUGGGAACCUCGGAUCAAAUGUUCGGGCACGUGGUAGUAGUAUCUUCGAUCUGGUUAGAGUUCUUUAGUUUGUCGUGCAUGUUCUUGUUUGAUUGGUGCAUGGCAAACUAACUAACUUUUAUUUAUUCCGGAUCGGGGGUGUUACAACGAAGGUGGUAUCAGAGCAUGGUUCACUUUGCUCACUUGGGAACCUGUUUUCAAUAAUUUAUCGAGUCAAAGGUGUCGCAAAAGGUAGAAUAGGAAACCAACAUGCUCCUUUUGUUAGAUAAGUUGGGAUUAGUACUUACCCUGGGUUGUACUGCAGUAUGUUUCCAAGACGUACAAGGAGUGAGGAGCCAAUGAUGACACCACCAAGAUAUGGACAAUGUAAUUCUGAAAAUCGCAGAGUCUAUUCAAACUUUGAGGUAACAGAUGAUUCUGCGAUAGCACAAGGAAAUAACCAUUGAUAUGAACACGAACAUGAGUCGACCGGGAGAAAUCCGACGGAUUCACAUAUGGGCUAUGAGCAAGAAGAACGAUAUGAGGAUCUGAGGGAGAGGAAUCAAGCACCUGAUAUGUAUGGAUCAAGGCGGAAUUAUGCAACAACACAUAAUCCAAGGCGGAAUGAAUCUGAGUUCAUGCACCGGGAAAGGACGCCCGAGCCACGUUGUAGGCAAGAACAAAGGACAGUUGGGAGUUCUGAUCCUCUUAUAGUAUUAGUACAAGGCUUGCUAGAUAGACUUGAUCAUAGAACCGGUGAAUCAUCAGAGCGAAGACCAUCCUCCCCUCCUGAUUACCUGAAGAUGGUCAUGUUAAUGAAGAAAUUUGGAACCGUUAGAUAUCCUGGAGGAACAAAUCCCUUCGAAGCGUCAACAUGGCUGAGGAAUUUGGAGGAAAACUUUCGGGCCAUCCACUGCCCUGAUAAUUUCAAGAAGGAUGUGGCAAUAUACUACUUGACCAAAGAUGCUUCUGAUUGGUGGGAUAACGUGGAAGAAUACUAUAUGGGAAGAGAGAUCGACUGGGAAGAUUUUAAAACGGAAUUUGAACGAAAAUACUUCCCACCUGAAGCAAAAGACCGGCUGGAGAUUCAAUUUUUGGAGUUAACUCAAGGAAACCGGAAAGUCAGGGAGUAUGAGGCAGAGUUUACAAAGCUAAGGAAAUAUUCUCCUUAUGGAGCAAGGAAUGAAGGUGCACUAAUUCGAAGGUUUAUAAGAGGAUUGCGAGCGGAUUUGGCUAGCCGACUGCAAAUAGUGAAGUUUCAUAGCCUUUAUGAAUUGGCGGAGAUAGCGGUAAAUGUUGAAGAAGGUAUGGAAAAGGAGCAAGCCAUGAUGAAGCAUGCAGAGCCAUCUCGCAGAACUGAAGGGCUAGGAGUACGAAGAAUGAAUAAUAAAGGACAAUUUAAUCGAGGGAGAGGCCGAGGAAGAAGGAAUGACAGACGGUUUACGAAUGGCCCUGAUGUGUGUUACACUUGUGGUGGUACAUGACAGUUUUCUAGCAGUUGUCCUUAUAGUCAGGGAAGAAAAGCCCCUGAUUAUAUUACUUGCUUCUCGUGUGGUGAGAAAGGGCAUUAUGCCAACAGUUGUCCCCAUAAGAGACAAGUUACGGUUCCAGCACCACCCACUAGACUAGCGAUUGAACCAGCCCCGAAGCGCCAGGCAGUUGGAAAGCAAGUGAAUGCUUUAGAGUUAGGAAAACACGAACCACAACAGCCCCAUCGGGGACCGAUCACAGGUAAGUAGGGUUUUAACUCAUUGCUUGUUUGUGUGAAUUUGAUGCAUAAAAUAUAAAAUGUGAAAUAAAUAUUGUUUAGGAACAUUGUGUGUUGGUGGAGUUUAUGUGCAUGUUCUCUUCGACUCAUGUGCCACACAUAGUUUUGUGAUACCCGAGGUAGUGUCGAGUUUUAAGGGAACCUUUACUAGAGUAAAGGUAGGUGUUUCAGUUAGAACCCCUGGGAACCAUAACCUUCGUGCCGAUAGUUGUGUACUUGGGAUUCCAAUCUAUGUGGGAUCAACGGUAUAUCCGGCAGACCUGCUAGUUGUUCCUUUAGGACAACACGAAGUAAUUUUGGGCAUGGACUGGCUGUCGAGAUACUACGCACAGUUGGAUUGUGGUCGAGGAAGAAUUACACUUGAAGAAAGCGGACAACCAUCAACGACAUACUAUGGAAUAUGUCCAAGUGCUGGAGUGUCACUUGUAUCUGCCUUAAGAGUUGAGAAAGAUUUGAUCGAGGGCGAGGUAUAUCUUGUAACUCUAACUACCCUUGGAGGAGAAUUGAAUGAAAGGACAAAGUUAGAAGAGAUAGCAGUAGUAAAAGAAUACCAGGAUGUAUUCCAGCCAUUGGAAGGAUUGCCUCCACCACGAAGUGAUCCUUUCACCAUUACAUUAGAGCCGGGAGCAGCCCCAAUAGCUAAGGCACCUUAUCAAAUGGCUCCAGCUGAGCUUGCUGAAUUAAAGAAGCAGUUGGAAGAUUUGAUAGAAAAAGGAUUUACCAGACCGAGUUCUUCACCAUAGGGAGCACCAGUCUUAUUUGUAAAAAAGAAAGACGGUACCAUUAGGUUAUGCAUCGAUUAUAGAGGGAUUAACAAUGUUACAGUAAAGGACAAGUAUCCCUUGCCAAGGAUCGAUGAAUUGUUUGAUCAGCUUCAGGGGGCAAGCUGGUUCUCAAAGAUAGAUUUGGCAUCGGGAUACCAUCAAAUCCAAUAUCAGAGUUCGAUAUCAUGAAGACGGCUUUUAGGACCCGGUAUGGCCACUAUGAAUUUGUGGUAAUGCCUUUUGGUCUUACUAAUGCGCCGGCUGCUUUCAUGCGCUUGAUGAAUGAUAUAUUUCGUGAUUACUUGGAUAAAUUUGUAAUCAUCUUUAUUGAUGAUAUUUAUUCCAAGAGUAAAGAGGAAAAUGCAGAGCACCUCCAAAAGGUGUUGGAACGAUUAAGAAGCCAUAAGUUGUUCGCCAAGUUGAGUAAAUGUAGUUUCUGGAAAAGGGAGAUUGGAUUCCUUGGUCAUCGAGUGUCAGAGAAGAGAGUUGCAGUAGAUCCUGAAAAGGUUAAAGUACUUAAGGACUGGCCACGCCCUACCAGCGCUACCGAGGUUCGAAGCUUUCUAGGAUUGGCUGGGUAUUAUCGAAAGUUUGUGAGGAACUUUUCCAUCAUGGCAAAACCCUUGACGAGGCUGACUGGGAAAGAGAUAUUAUUUGAAUGGGAUAAGAAAGAGGAAAAGGCUUUUACACAAUUAAAGAAAACUUUAAUGACAGCACCUAUUCUCGCAUCACCUACUCCAGGAAGACCUUACACAGUAUACACUGAUGCUUCUCGAGUAGGACUGGGUUGUGUACUGAUGCAGGAUGAAAAGGUCAUCGCCUAUGGUUUAAGACAGUUAAGGAAGCACGAGGAGAAUUACCCCACCCACGAUCUAGAGAUGGCCGCAGUGGUAUUUGCUUUAAAAAUAUGGAGAUCCUAUCCUUAUGGCGAGACGAUUCAAAUCUUUACUGAUCACAAGAGUCUCAAGUAUCUCUUUACUCAGUCAGAUUUGAAUUUGAGACAAAGGAGGUGGAUGGAGUUUAUCACGGAUUAUGACUUACAAAUCCAAUAUCACCCAGGAAAGGCGAAUGUGGUAGCCUUAAACGCAGAAUUCAAGAUGAUUAGUCUUUCAGCCAUAGAAGGCGAGGGCAGCGAGCCAUAGAAGGCGAGGGCAGCGAGCCAUUGGGAUUGCGAGCAGUGAAUCAAGCAAACCUCCUGCAAAGAAUUCGAGAAGAGCAGAAGGAAGAUGUCAAGCUAAAGAAGAUUAUAAAAGAACUUGAAGAAUCAGGCGGAAGAAAUGAUAGUGGUUAUCAUUUGGCUGAUGACAGAACCCUCCUACUGAACGGAAGAAUAACCGUACCUGUAGGAAAGGAGUUACGAGAAGAGAUCUUGAGAAUCGCACACCACUCAAUAUUAAGUAUUCAUCCUGGAAGCACCAAGAUGUAUCAGGAUAUACGUCGAUACUAUCACUGGCCAGGAAUCAAACGAUCAGUUGCUAAGUGGGUAGCCCAGUGCCAGACCUGCCAACAAAUUAUGGCUGACCAUCAAGUGUCGGGAGGAUUAUUGCAAAGCCUGCCAAUCCCAGAAUGGAAGUGGGAGUUAGUGGCUAUGGAUUUUGUAACAGGACUAUCUCGAGCUCCAGGAAGAGGGAAUGAUACUAUAUGGGUGGUGGUAGAGCGACUAACUAAGACUGUUCAUUUUCUAACCAUUAGAAUUGUUGACAAGGUAGAAGUACUGGCAGAAGUUUACUUAAAGGAGAUAGUAAGAUUACACGGAGUUCCUGCAAACAUAGUAUCUGAUCGUGAUCCAAGAUUUACGGCUCAAUUCUGGAGAGCUUUCCAGCAAGUUUUGGGGACUAAUCGUCAUAUGAGUACGGCGUUUCACCCUGAAACUGACGGGCAGACGGAGCGAACAAUCAGAACCUUGGAAGAUUUGCUAAGGAUGUGUGUUUUAGACUGGUCAGGUACAUGGGAACAAUACUUACCUUUGGUAGAGUUCUCUUAUAACAACAGUUACCAUGCAAGUAUUGGAAUGUCCCCAUAUGAGGCAUUAUAUGGACGACCUUGCCGCACACCACUGUGUUGGGCUGAAGUUGGAGAAAGACAUAUGUUAGGACCAGAUGUAGUAGAUGAAACAACAGAAAAGAUAAAGAUUGUCCGAGAGAAUAUGAAGAAAGCUCAAGACAGGCAGAAGAAGUAUGCCGAUCAGAAUAGACGUGAAGUAAUAUUUCAAGUUGGUGAUUGGGUAUAUUUGAAGGUGGCCGCACAGAAAGGGAGAGAUAGAUUCGGAAAAGUGGGAAAGUUAGCCACUCGAUAUAUAGGACCAUACCGAGUGAUGCAACGGAUUGGAGAAGUAGCCUAUCAAUUAGAGUUACCAUCAGAUAUGGCACUUCACCCAGUUUUCCAUGUCUCAAUGUUAAGAAGGCAUAUACGAAAUCCUACCGAAGUAGAGCCGCAACGAGUUGAAAACCUUCGUUCCAACCUCACUUACCCUGAAGGACCACUUCGAAUCGGAGAAAGACGAAUAAGAAAACUGAAGAAUCGAGAGAUUCCUCAAGUGCAAGUAUUUCGGGGAAAACAGCGUCGAGUAAUUGAGACAUGGGAAGAUGAAGAGAGGUGUAGAGCAACUCAUCCUGAACUGUUUUUGGAAGAUGAUGAAGAUCAGAUGGGUGGAGCAUCAAACCACUAAGAAUUCGGGACGAACUCUAUUAAGAGGGGGAGAAUGCAAUAACCCUCUUUAAAGAGUAAAACACAGACAAGGAAAAAUCUUGUAACAGCCGAGAAAAUUACUCAAGUAAGUGGAAGUCGGAUUGAUCUUUUCCCGUGGAUGUUGUGGAUCCCAAGGUACAUAAGAAAAAUUUAGAAAGUCUUAGAAUAGUUUUCCAUCUGAAGAAAUAAAUUCUUCAGGAAGUUUAGUGGAUUGAAAAUGCUCGCGGUUCGGCCUAGAACGUCCUAGUCGGACGAGAAAAUUAAUCGAAAAUUUAUUAUAAUGCCUUAAGAUAGGAAUGACUUUAGAGUUAUUUUAGAAAUGUUUAGGUCUAAGAAAUUUAGGUUUUUGUCAAGGAAAAACAUUUCCGCCAGCUCGGAUAAGCUUAUAACACGUUCGGGAUUUAAAUACGGCCCAUUCGGGCCCAUCUACGAUGUGUUAAGCAUAUCCGGAAGCUUCUGGAGGAUGCAGUUGCUUGUCUACCUCCUUAAGCAGCUAGACAUGUGUUACUCCUUUACUGGAGAAUACUCCAAGCAGCUCUUGCUUAUGUCCUAUUGGUUGAAUUGGUGGCUGGCCACAAAACUUGGUUUAAUUGGACAGAUUUGUGGCUGCACACCAAUCUCUCUCCAAUUGGUUGCAUGGGGCACCCAGGACACCUCCUGCUUGCUAUGCAAGACCAAAACCCUCCCAUGAGCUCAUUCUCCAGCCUAUAAAUAGCAGACCACCCCCCUCCCCCCUUGGUUAUUUCUCCUGCUUAGAACCCUAACCAUAGCAGCUCGAAAAAAAAAUCAAAACCCUAAGGUAUAUUGUUUUUGUCUUUAGCUUUCUUUUUAUUUAAAUUUUGUUUUUAUUUUUUUUUAUUUUCUUAGUUAGAACUUGGAUAGCCUUUCUUAACCUACCCUUCCUGUAUUUAGAUUUCUAAAGCUCUAGAGUUUUCCGAUAAAAGUUUAAAGUGAAGCCGACCGCGAGAUAGAAGCGUUUCCAGUCCAAAACUUUCAUCUAAGUGUUGAGGUGAGUCUCGGUUAUAGGUUAUGAUUGUUGUGUGUGCGACUAGCGCCUGCAAAACAAGAGUAUUGGUUGAUGCAUUGCUAGGUUGCGCGUUUAGAUAUAUAAUGAUAUGAUAAUGAUUGAUGUUUGUGAAAGAUAUUGAGUUAUAUCGUCGGGCUUCGGCUCGAGGGGUAUAACAUGAUUGUGAUACAUUGAUGUUGUGUUGCAUAUACUUAUGUCAUUGCAUUAUAUUGUUUGGGCCUCGGCUCAGAUAUUAUAACAUGUUUGAUCAUAUCUUAACGGGGAAACCCGUAAAUCCACGGACUUGAUCCGUGAGAGUCCGACACUCGGGUGGAGCGUCGUGAGAGUCAUUGGUGUCCACUCGAGGCCCAUGCCUUGUCCGGGGCCUUACCAAAAUUAGUUCCGGGCAGGACGCGAAGACACGUGUGAUAGGGCUAGCUACCCUCGAAUGUAUAGCUGCAUGACGAUGCGGCAAGUGUGUUAUCCGGGCCAUCGGCUUUUUAGACUUUGUGUUUAGAGUCAAUGGGCGCAAGAAGGGAUGUGUUAUGGACUUCGUAUCGAGAUAGGAACCAAUGGCGAGAGGCAGUCCUCGAUGAUCAAUAAUGAUCUAACCACUCGUGAAGAGUGGAUGCUUGUUUACAUGAUUGCUUUAUUUUUGCAUUGCAUAUUUCUUAAUAUAAUUGAUCCUUGUUGCUUAAUGUUUGAUGCAUAAUGGGGGGAUAAAUAAUUGUUAGGAAACCCGACUCACUGAGCAAAAUAGUUGCUCAUUAGACUCUUUGUUUUGCAGGUAACCCAUAGUAGUAGGUUCCAUUUGGGAUCGGAGGAGCACAAAGCUGUUGGUGUAGAUUUGCUACCUUUUGCAAACAUGUACGUUUUGUAAUAUGUAAGAUAUGGUUUUGAACAUCGGCCGAGCAUGUAUAAAUUUUGCUGUGGUUGAACUUAAAGUAUA